AUGUCCAAGGCCGCCGCAGCCGCCGCAGCGGCGGCGUCCCUCCCGCCACCGCCGCCCGAGGUGGCCCACCUGGUGGAGCAGCUCCAGCGCCAUCACCUCGCCCCGGACGCCUCCCUCCUCUCCAGCUCCGCCCACUCCGACCUCCUCCAGGCGCGCGAGGAGGUCGCGGCGGAGCGCGCCCGCUACCUCGAGGCCCUGGCGGUGUACGCGGAGGCGAUGGCCAUGGUGGAGGAGUACCAGCACGCGACCGCCGCGGGCAGCGCCGGUGCCGCCAAGAAGCUCAACUGCUCCCCGGAGGUCUACGAGUCCUUGGAGCACCAUUUGGCGGUCGCCGAGGCGGCCCAGAGGUUGAGGCUCCCACUGCUCUCGCAGGACGGGGAGGUGCAUGAGGAGGAGAUAGAAAAGCUGAGCACCUUGUCAAGGGUUUCAUUUGACAGUACCGUAACAAGUGCCACGCCAAGCUCAACCUCAAUCUCGACUAACUACAAUAACUAUGGCAGCACCGGUAGUGCGUUGACUGCUGCCGCUGCCGCUGGUGGUGGUGGUUCGGAGCUGGUUGAGCCCGGGGCAGGUGGUGUUCCUGAUCGCUUUCUUGGGAUAACAUCAGAUUAUCUCUACCAGGUGCAGCAACAGCAGCCAGCCAUGACUGUGGACAUGGUCGAGUAUCAGAGAUCUGUGGCAAGAGAGAUUGAGGCUCGGUUAGAAGCUAAGUGUGACGCUUUAGCUGAUCUUUUUGCAAUGGAUGAAAGGGAUUCGUCAUCCAUCAAUCAGAUUUCAAGUGCCAGGCUUCCAGAAAGGGUGAAAUUAAUUAUCGAAGGAAUAGAAAAGGAAGAGUCCCUUCUACUGGAGGAUCUUGCUUCGAUGGACAGGAAAUUUGCUGAGCACUAUAAUGUCCUGGAGCAAAUUCUUGCUGUACUUAUACAGUUUGUUAAAGACAAGAAGUUAGAACACCAGCACCAAUAUGAUGAUGUGAAGAAGACCUGGCUUAUUAAAAGAUGCCGUACUAUGAAUGCUAAACUAAGCUACCUGGAGCACCAUCUCUUGCGUGACACCUACACGAAGGAAACAGUACCUGCAUUGCAUAGAAUCAGGAAAUAUCUUGUGGAGGCAACGAAAGAAGCAUCCAAUUCCUAUAAUGAAGCGGUCUCACGUCUCCGCGAGUACCAAGGCGUAGACCCGCACUUCGACGUGAUUGCGAGGCAGUACCAUGAGAUCGUGAAGAAAUUGGAGGGCAUGCAGUGGACGAUCCACCAGGUGGAGAUGGAUCUGAAGCCGGCCUCGUCAUGA
rnacentral:rRNA from 1 species